AACGCACAUUGCGCCCUUUGGUAUUCCGAGGGGCAUGCCUGUUCGAGCGUCAUUAUAACCACUCAAGCCUUGGCUUGGUAUUGGGGUUCGCGGUUUCGCGGCCCUUAAAAUCAGUGGCGGUGCCAUCUGGCUCUCAGCGUAGUAGUUUAUCUCGCUAUUGGGUCCGGUGGUUGCUUGCCAAUAACCCCCAACUUCUCACGGUUGACCUCGGAUCAGGUAGGGAUACCCGCUGAACUUAA
rnacentral:misc_RNA from 1 species